GCAGUGGUGGUUCAGUGGUAGAAUUCUCAUCUUUCACGUGGGAGACCCAGGUUCAAUUCCUGGCCAGUGUA
rnacentral:tRNA from 1 species